rnacentral:rRNA from 1 species
CCUACGGGAGGCUGCAGUAGGGAAUAUUGCUCAAUGGGGGAAACCCUGAAGCAGCAACGCAGCGUGGAGGAUGAAGGUUUUCGGAUUGUAAACUCCUUUUGUUAGAGAAGAUAAUGACGGUAUCUAACGAAUAAGCACCGGCUAACUCCGUGCCAGCAGCCGCGGUACUACGGAGGGUGCAAGCGUUACUCGGAAUAACUGGGCGUAAAGAGGGCGUAGGCGGGAUAGCAAGUCAGAUGUGAAAUCCUAUGGCUUAACCAUAGAACUGCAUUUGAAACUGGUAUUCUAGAGUAUGGGAGAGGUAGGUGGAAUUCGUGGUGUAGCGGUAAAAUGCGUAGAGAUCAAGAGGAAUACUCAUUGCGAAGGCGACCUGCUAGACCAUAACUGACGCUGAUGCGCGAAAGCGUGGGGAGCAAACAGGAUUAGAUACCCUAGUAGUC